GACGAACGCUGGCGGCGUGCCUAAUACAUGCAAGUAGAACGCUGAAGGAGGAGCUUGCUCUUCUGGAUGAGUUGCGAACGGGUGAGUAACGCGUAGGUAACCUGCCUGGUAGCGGGGGAUAACUAUUGGAAACGAUAGCUAAUACCGCAUAACAGUAGAUGUUGCAUGACAUUUACUUAAAAGGUGCAAUUGCAUCACUACCAGAUGGACCUGCGUUGUAUUAGCUAGUUGGUGGGGUAACGGCUCACCAAGGCGACGAUACAUAGCCGGCCUGAGGGGGUGGACGGCCACACUGGGACUGGGACACGGCCCAGACUCCUACGGGAGGCAGCAGUAGGGAAUCUUCGGCAAUGGACGGAAGUCUGACCGAGCAACGCCGCGUGAGUGAAGAAGGUUUUCGGAUCGUAAAGCUCUGUUGUAAGAGAAGAACGAGUGUGAGAGUGGAAAGUUCACACUGUGACGGUAUCUUACCAGAAAGGGACGGCUAACUACGUG
rnacentral:rRNA from 1 species